rnacentral:rRNA from 1 species
GAUUUCUGCUCAGAUUGAACGCUGGCGGCAUGCCUUACACAUGCAAGUCGAACGGCAGCACGGGGGCAACCCUGGUGGCGAGUGGCGAACGGGUGAGUAAUACAUCGGAACGUGUCCUGUAGUGGGGGAUAGCCCGGCGAAAGCCGGAUUAAUACCGCAUACGAUCUACGGAAGAAAGCGGGGGAUCGCAAGACCUCGCGCUAUAGGGGCGGCCGAUGGCAGAUUAGCUAGUUGGUGGGGUAAAGGCCUACCAAGGCGACGAUCUGUAGCUGGUCUGAGAGGACGACCAGCCACACUGGGACUGAGACACGGCCCAGACUCCUACGGGAGGCAGCAGUGGGGAAUUUUGGACAAUGGGGGAAACCCUGAUCCAGCAAUGCCGCGUGUGUGAAGAAGGCCUUCGGGUUGUAAAGCACUUUUGUCCGGAAAGAAAACUUCCUGGUUAAUACCUGGGGAGGAUGACGGUACCGGAAGAAUAAGCACCGGCUAACUACGUGCCAGCAGCCGCGGUAAUACGUAGGGUGCGAGCGUUAAUCGGAAUUACUGGGCGUAAAGCGUGCGCAGGCGGUUCGUUAAGACAGAUGUGAAAUCCCCGGGCUUAACCUGGGAACUGCAUUUGUGACUGGCGAGCUAGAGUAUGGCAGAGGGGGGUAGAAUUCCACGUGUAGCAGUGAAAUGCGUAGAGAUGUGGAGGAAUACCGAUGGCGAAGGCAGCCCCCUGGGCCAAUACUGACGCUCAUGCACGAAAGCGUGGGGAGCAAACAGGAUUAGAUACCCUGGUAGUCCACGCCCUAAACGAUGUCAACUAGUUGUUGGGGAUUCAUUUCCCUUAGUAACGUAGCUAACGCGUGAAGUU